GAUGAACGCUGGCGGCGUGCUUAACACAUGCAAGUCGAACGGAAAGGCUCCUGCUUGCCGGGGUACUCGAGUGGCGAACGGGUGAGUAACACGUGGGUGAUCUGCCCUGCACUUCGGGAUAAGCCUGGGAAACUGGGUCUAAUACCGGAUAGGACGAUGGUUUGGAUGCCAUUGUGGAAAGUUUUUCGGUGUGGGAUGAGCUCGCGGCCUAUCAGCUUGUUGGUGGGGUAAUGGCCUACCAAGGCGUCGACGGGUAGCCGGCCUGAGAGGGUGUACGGCCACAUUGGGACUGAGAUACGGCCCAGACUCCUACGGGAGGCAGCAGUGGGGAAUAUUGCACAAUGGGCGCAAGCCUGAUGCAGCGACGCCGCGUGGGGGGUGACGGCCUUCGGGUUGUAAACUCCUUUCGCUAGGGACGAAGCGCAAGUGACGGUACCUGGAGAAGAAGCACCGGCUAACUACGUG
rnacentral:rRNA from 1 species